UUGAUGAAGAUCUUGGGUGUGACCUUUGUGGGAAAUGAGCCAUGAACCAAUAUUCAAUAUACCAAAUCGGAUUUAUUCAUCACCCAGUGACAGAGAUCUUGGCCGUCUCUUCUGCGGACAAGGAGCUGAGGGACGCAGUCUGUAUUUUACUUCACCAAAUGCAUAUACCACAGAUGACUUAACAAUUCUCUAAUGCUACAGAUCUUGGCUUUUACCUCUGUGGGUAAGGAGAGAAGAGAUGAAGAAAAGAAACCUAGACUCAUACCACUUUGAACAAAGCACAUGUCAGCAGUUGCAUGAAAUGGUAUUUCAGUUCUGGAUUGCUGAAUGAAAACCACGUAGCUGAUUUUAUUCUCCUCUAAUCAUGAAGCCCAUAACUGUUACUUCUGGACUAAGGC